GCUCGGUUAGCUCAGUUGGUUAGAGCGUCGUACUAAUAUUGGGUCCUCUCGGGUCUAAUACCAAGUAAAUGCGAAGGUCAUGAGUUCGACCCUCAUACUGAGCA